UACGUAGGUGGCAAGCGUUGUCCAGAUUUACUGGGCGUAAAGAGCGCGCAGGCGGUUAUUCAAGUCGAAUGUGAAAGCCCCCGGCUUAACUGGGGAGGGUCAUUCGAUACUGUUUAACUUGAAGGCAGGAGAGGGUAGUGGAAUUCCCGGUGUAGUGGUGAAAUGCGUAGAUAUCGGGAGGAACACCAGUGGCGAAGGCGACUUCCUGGCCUGUUCUUGACGCUGAGGCGCGAAAGCUAGGGUAGCAAACGGG
rnacentral:rRNA from 1 species